rnacentral:piRNA from 1 species
UGCUCUGUGCAUUCAUGGGACAAGAAUGAUC